GACGAACGCUGGCGGCGUGCUUAACACAUGCAAGUCGAGCGAGGCCCUCCUUCGGGAGGUGUCCUAGCGGCGAACGGGUGAGUAACACGUGGGCAACCUGCCCCCGGCUCUGGGAUAACUCCAAGAAAUUGGGGCUAAUACCGGAUAUGACCGCUGACCGCAUGGUCUGGUGGUGGAAAGAUUUAUCGGCUGGGGAUGGGCCCGCGGCCUAUCAGCUUGUUGGUGGGGUAGUGGCCUACCAAGGCGACGACGGGUAGCCGGCCUGAGAGGGUGACCGGCCACACUGGGACUGAGACACGGCCCAGACUCCUACGGGAGGCAGCAGUGGGGAAUAUUGCGCAAUGGGCGGAAGCCUGACGCAGCGACGCCGCGUGGGGGAUGACGGCCUUCGGGUUGUAAACCUCUUUCAGCAGGGACGAAGCCGCAAGGUGACGGUACCUGCAGAAGAAGCACCGGCCAACUACGUGCCAGCCGCCGCAGUAAGAC
rnacentral:rRNA from 1 species